rnacentral:rRNA from 1 species
UACGGAGGGUGCAAACGUUGCUCGGAAUCAUUGGGCGUAAAGCGCACGUAGGCGGCCUGUUAAGUCGGGUGUGAAAGCCUGUGGCUCAACCACAGAAUUGCCUUCGAUACUGUUAGGCUUGAGACCGGAAGAGGUAAGUGGAACUGCGAAUGUAGAGGUGAAAUUCGUAGAUAUUCGCAAGAACACCAGUGGCGAAGGCGGCUUACUGGUCCGGUUCUGAUGCUGAGGCGCGAAAGCGUGGGGAGCAAACAGG